rnacentral:misc_RNA from 1 species
GUAGAGUGCAGAAUCAUUCGGAAUUUGUUCAAUAACUUUUCAGAUCUAGUAGUAGGGGGUUGAAAGAAAAAUGGGUAGGAUGGAUUAUUUGGCUAUGAAGACUGAUGAAGAUACUAACAAAUUGAUUAAUGAAGAUCUGAAUGAGCUAAAGUUAGCUGCUGAGAAGCUCUUUGACCAUGCCACUAAACUUGGCGGUCUUGGAUUUGGUACUUCUCUUCUCAAAUGGUUUGCCUCAUUUGCUGCCAUUUAUUUGCUGAUACUGGACCGGACAAACUGGAAAACAAAUAUGUUGACUGGACUUCUAGUCCCAUAUAUCUUCUUCAGUUUCCCUGCAGUGUUAUUCCACUUCUUCAGAGGAGAGGUUGGGAAAUGGAUUGCUUUCGUUGCAGUAGUACUUAGGCUUUUCUUCCCACGACAUUUUCCAGACUGGUUGGAAAUGCCUGGUUCAUUAAUCCUACUCCUAGUGGUUUCGCCCAACAUCUUUGCCCACACUUUCAGAGACAGCUGGAUUGGCACUGCGAUAUGUCUUUUGAUUGGCUGCUAUCUCCUCCAAGAGCACAUCAGAGCCUCCGGUGGAUUCAGAAAUUCCUUAACACAAAGCAAUGGUAUAUCUAACACAGUUGGUAUAAUUCUUCUGUUGGUAUAUCCAAUCUGGGCUCUGGUUCUUCGAGCCGUCUGAUGAACUAUAGCUACAACGAUCAUAUGUGUGUUUUCGUCCACGAAUUCAAUGCUCAAUGCUGCAAAGCAGACCUCUGAAUAAAUGGAUUUGGUUUUGUUUUAAACAUUUCUGGUUAUGUGAUUAUGUACUUUUGACAUAUGAAGUACUUAUGGUUGAUGGAUUUGAUUGUAAAGUUUUCACUCAUUCACGCUUGCAAUCUAUGAACUUGGUAAGGUGACGAUUAUA